GAGGAGUUGGCCGAGUGGUAGAGCGCCAGUCUAGUAAACGGAGGGUCUCGAGUUCGACCCCCCAUACUCUUUU